AAAACACAACAGGCUGUGGAAGAGCUGCGAGCGGCGCGGCGGGGCGGGCGAACUCGGCGCGGCACAGAGCCUCGGGAGGCUGAUGCAACUUUCCCUUUAAGAAAGCCACCUGGGCGCACCGCGGUGCGGACCCAGCACGCCUGGGCCGGGGGCUGCAGCAUGCUCUUGAGAUCUGUGGCCUGAAAGGCGCUGGAAGCAGAGCCUGUGAGUGUGGUCCCCGUCACCAGAGCCCCAACCCACCGCCGCCAUGGUAGGAAAAGGUGCCAAAGGGAUGCUGAAUGGUGCUGUGCCCAGCGAGGCCACCAAGAGGGACCAGAACCUCAAACGGGGCAACUGGGGCAACCAGAUCGAGCGCCUUCAUGUUCCCCUACUUCAUCAUGCUCAUCUUCUGCGGGAUCCCCCUCUUCUUCAUGGAGCUCUCCUUCGGCCAGUUUGCAAGCCAGGGGUGCCUGGGGGUCUGGAGGAUCAGCCCCAUGUUCAAAGGAGUGGGCUAUGGUAUGAUGGUGGUGUCCACCUACAUCGGCAUCUACUACAAUGUGGUCAUCUGCAUCGCCUUCUACUACUUCUUCUCGUCCAUGACGCACGUGCUGCC
rnacentral:lncRNA from 1 species